UCAAAAAGUGAAAUACAACGGUCGAUUUGGAAAAUAAUUUUAAUGAGCCCGUGAUCGCAGAAGAAUUUAGACCAGCUACUAUGACGGGAACAACGUUAAUUCUAUCAGAAUGAUAUCGCGCGAAUAGCGCGAAUCAGCAUGAGCUUGAGACCAGUUCAUUCAUUUACCACGGACAGGAAAUUAAGCACCAUACGCCGGUUCUGAAAGUAAUUUUGGUGAAUCUGCGAUUAUAGAGGGACUCAGGAAAGUUGCCACGAGACGUGAACUAUGUAAAUCUCAUCGGGAUGAAUCGUAGGACAAGGACAGACACGGACAUUAGCGACACGAUCGAUGAAAUGCUCAGGAUAGAAACCUGCGACGCAGAAAACUUUACGCUGUUAACAGCCGAAUGAGUAUUCUACCGUUGAUGAGUCAAAUCAGUCGACGUAGUUGCUUCUUGUUACGGAAAACUUGUUCGAAUAUAUUGGAAGAUGAGUGAGAAAAUUUUAUUUACUAUUUUUAGAGAGUCAAAUAUACUUUGCCACGUUUGUUGUGUAGAAAUAACUAGAAUAAAUCAACAACGGUAUAUAAAUAGAUUAAACUUGUAAAUGUAUUACGUGGGAAAUUUUGAUAAAAACAUGCGAGAUGUUAAGAUCCGAUGUAGCGUUAUAUUUGAUGUACGCGAAGAAAUAGUCGUUCUUCGUAGUACGACAACUUUCGCUGCUUCCAUUUAUACUUCGAGAUACUGUCGCCCUUCUUCCCUUCAAAUUGUCGCUAUUAAAAAAAAAUCGCGAUUCGUAUCGCCGUAACUUUUGAGUGGCCGGCUCGAAAGGAGCGUUUCGUGCGAGGAAUUAAUGUACGAGGUGUGUCGCGCGGAUUAGUCUCAUUAUUAUUCCCGAGCGAGGCAACGUCGUGCCUCGGUAUGGUAAAAAAAAAGGAAGAAAAAAACGUCUCGGAAGAUUAACGAGCGAGCAGCCCUUAUGAACCAUCUCGACGCCUCGAAAACCGCGAGCGAGAGAGAUGGGCGAGAGCGGGAGAGAAGAGUGAGCUGGAAAAGGAGGAAAAAAAAAGAUGGAUUGCGAGGAGGAAUUGGAUAUCGCAAUUAAACAGGCCGGCAACCUUACAAAUUGGAGGUUGAA